UCGUCUCCUACACCUACUGCGGCCAGACAUUGUGCAGGGCAGCCCGGGGAGCCCGAGAGUCUCUGGGUCUCGCCGAGCGGACGGCGGGGCGUCCCGGGCUGAGCCUAGGUCCAAGUGUCCCACAGCUCUGAGUCGGCGCCCAGUCCUUUCCAGUACCCACUCUCAUUCCGCCCCCGCGCUUUCGAAACGGCGUCGGACCCGCUCUAGAGCUUUCCCUGUCUCUUCUGUGGAAAGUGAGCUGCUGUUCCGAGCCUAAGAAGGCAUAUGAAAACUGCUCGCAGACCCAGGCUAGCUCAGUAGGGCCUGAGUCACGGCAGCUGCUGAUUGACAGACCUGCUUGGCCGCAUUCACCAUCUGGAGGUGGAUUAGGGAUGUCCCUUCGACCUAUAGAGGACACAUGGCACAGCAUUAAAUUCUGCUCUGCCCCAGCAGCACCCAUCCCAGAUGAAAUUGCAGAGGCAACAGGCCCUGGAGCCCCUGGCCCACAUCUGACUGCCUGAAGGAAUAAGGGGGAACUGUUGCUGCUGACAGUUUGGAGAGUGUCCUUCCAGACAUUUCCAACGCUGUAUUUCACAGGAUCUCUCAAAUGAGAGAAGGAUCCCUUGGCUUCGUGGUGUGAAACACACUGAAUCUGAUUGAUGACUGUGAUCUGAUAUCACAAUAAUAUUGGUAAUAAUUAUAAGUAUAAGGCAGGCUUAUUAGUUUCCUAGUCAUGCUCUUAUAAAAAUACCACUAUCUAGGUGGCUGGAAUGACAGAAAUGUAUUAUCUCACAUCUGAAGCCUAGAAAUCCAAAAUCAAGUGUUCCCUCUGAAACCUGUAGGGGAAUCCUUCCUUGUCUCUCCCUAGCAUCUGUGGUUUGCCGGAGAUCCUUGGCAUUCUUUGGUUUGCAGUCACACAACUACAGUCUCUGCCUUGUCAACAUAUGGCAUUCUUUUUCUAUGUCUCUAUCUUCACAUGGCUGUCUUCUUAUAAGGACACCAGUUGUGUUGGAUGAGGGGUCCACGCUACUCCAUUAUGAUGUCAUCUUAACUAAUUACAUCUACAACAACCCUAUUUUCAGAUAAGGUCAUAUUCUGAGGUGCAGAGGUCUAGGACUUCAACACAUUUUUUUUUGGAGGACAUAAUUCUGUCCUUAACAGUAGAUAAACUUUGUAAAUAUAAAAGUUAAGGCUACUGUCUGUAACAGAUAUUCAGUAAUACCUGGAAGUUUGGUUCUUUCUUCCCAUGUUCCAAAGAAUCUAGGGGGGCAAUUCUUGAUAGACAUAGAGAAACCUGAAUGAACCUACCUCAGCUAACUGGAAUCCUCAACUGUUUGACAAAGAUGUAUUUGCACUUGCCUUUUCAAAAGAGAAGUCAUUAACAAAAUAAUCAGAUAUCAUGAGUAUAACUUUUUAAAAAUAUUUUAUUUAUUUGAGAGAAAGCAGAGCACGAGAGAGACCAUAAGUGGGGGGAGAGACAGAGGGAAAAGAAGACUCCCCGCCAAGCAGACAGCCCAAUGUGGGGAUUGAUCUCAGAACCCCAGGAUCAUGACCUGAGCUAAAGGCAGAUGCUUAACUGACUGGGCCACUCUG